UUUAGUGAUGACGUAAUUUUGUAGGCACCCUAGACUGCAGAAAUAAAUUUGUGGGCCAACGGAUAUUUAUAACUGUUGAACAUUUGUUUUUCAUACAUUCCUCACUAUAUGACAAAAAUUUCAAUAUCUACGAGUCUGAAUUUAAUUUUCAAGAUUAAAUUGUGACGAUCUACGAACUACAACUCCCGUCGACGGAUUAUGACAUCAUUGAGCUGAGACGCUCACCGUGUGGCUUGUCAGACCAUGUGCGGACCUGGUGCGGACAGGCUGGCUAGCGCUUUGCGACAUAUUUUGAAGACUUGCACAAUUGUAAGUACAUUUAUGCAAUAGUCAUGUGCUUGUAUCAAUAUACCAGAGUUUUUAAUACACGUUAUCCUUAUUAAAAUUGUUUUAUCAUGUUUCUUGUGCAACCAGACCGACGAGGAGAGCUCAAAGCUACCUUGCUAAUUAGCUUACCAGCAUGGACCAACUUGAUGACAUUGCGAAAUCGACUUUGAAAGCUGCAAACAUAAGUGAGGAAGUCUUGGGCACCCUGUCUCGUGAGGACCUCCGGGAUCUCUUCCCAGGCCCAGAAAAUUUCUUUCGGAGAAAAGCGGUCUGGCAUGCCUGUCAUGCCUGUCGUGAUGAUUUCGAUGAGGAAGUUGGCAGAGACAGUGGUACCUCUGUUACCGAAUCACCUUUGCCAC